CCCCCCCCCAAUAUUCGGCAUAAUAAAAAAAUAAUUAAAUAGUCCACUCCAACGUGCAGAGUGUUGAUGAUACAAAAUAAACGUAGGAGUACACUCAAACAGAAAAAGACAGUGCAAUACUCUGAAACUAAUUGCUCCUCGCUUGCAUUCACUGGUUUAUUGGACCAACUGUAAAGUUUUGAAACUCUAUUAUCUCCCCUGAAUAGAGUUUGCAGUGCCUUGUCAUGCAAAUAGCUUGCUUGCAAGGAACGUUUGGAAAUUUUACGAACAUUAUUUUUAGUUUUUAAUUCUUUUAGGAAAUAGUCUUGCCUAGAUUUAAUCUUUACGUCCUAAAUAUUAUUUACAUCGGAGUUGCAUCAUAAAUUGUACUCGGAUUCAAACGACACAAUGUCAAUGAUUUAAUAAAAGUAAAAGCAUAUUGUUUAUUGGCCUAUUGGGUUUACACUUUUACAGGUUCAUUUAACUCAAGUCUCAACAGACAAUCGGACAGGCCAAAUCCAUUGAUAUGACAACUUCAACUAUUAUCUGGAGCCCUUUCCAUUAUCGGCCCCAUUUGAUGUCCAGAUCAGUUGCUUCUAUGGUCCAGCCAUAUCCAUCUGGUGAUGGUGCAGGAAGGCUGCAAUACCAAGAGGUGCUUAUGUAAGAAAAUGGAUUUACAAUGCACAGAAUUAUGCCAUUGUGAAAAUAUGGAAAGCAUGCACAGAAUUGAUUGGAACUGACAGUGAUAAUGGACUUGAUGAAGAGUCUGAUGAUAAUGACAAUGAAUUUUAGAUUGUUCUAAAAUGUUAUUCUUGGUAUUGUCAGAUAUUGUUACACAUGUAUGAUUUAACAGGGUUCAGAAUUACCAAUGUGCAAAUUGC